GUCAGUGUCUCAGGGUCUUGCAUUCACUCCAAGACCUAUUUUUAUUCUGUUUAAUCAGUCUUAUGAGGCAGCCUUGUUAACACACUAUUAUUGUUUUUUUUAAUUUUUGUGGAUACACAGUAGGUAUAUAUAUUUAUGGGACACAUGAGACAUUUUGGUACAGGCAUGCAAUGUAUCAUAAUCACAUCAUGGAAAAUUGGGUAUCCAUCCCCCCAAGCAUUUAUUCUAGGUGUUAUAAACAAUCCAAUUAUAUCCUUUUAGUUAUUUUCAAUUAAAUUAUUAUUGACUAUUGUCACCCUGUUGUGCUAUCAAAUAUUAGGUCUUAUUCAUUCUUUUUAACAUUUUUUAACCCAUUAACCAUCAUCACCUCCCCACCAGCCCCCACUACCCUUCCCAGCCUCUGAGAACCAUCCGUCUACUCUCUAGCUCCAUGAGUUCAAUUGUUUUGAUUUUUAGAUCCCACAAAUAAGUGAGAAAAUGCGAUGUUUUCUUUCUGUGCCUGGAUUAUUUCACUUAACAUAAUGACCUCCAGUUCCAUCCAUGUUGUUGCAAAUGACAGGAUCCCUUUUUUUUUAUGGCUGACUAGUACUCCAUUGUGUAUAAGUAUCACAUUUUCUUCAUUCAUCUGUCGAUGGACACUUAGGUUCCUUCUAAGUCUUGGCUAUUGUGAACAAUGCUGCAACAAACAUAGGGGUGCAGAUAUCUCCUCAAUAUACUGAUUUGCUUUCUUAUAGGUAUAUAUCCAGGAGUGGGACUGCUGGAUCAUAUAGUAGCUCAAUUUUCAUUUUUCUGAAUAACCUCCAAACUGUUCUCCAUGGUGGUUGUACUAACUUACAUUUCCACCAACCAUGUACGAAGGUUUCCUUUUCUCCGCAUCCUUGCCAGCAUUUGUAAUUGCCUGAUUUUUGGUUAAAAGUCAAGUAAACUGAGUGAGAUGAUAUUCAUUGUAGUUUUGAUUUGCAUUUCUCUGAUGAUCAGCGAUGUUGAGCACCUUUUCAUAUGCCUGUUUGCCAUACGUAUGUCUUCUUUUGAGAAAUGUCUAUUCCAGUCUUUUGCCCAUUUUUUAAUUGGAUAAUUAGAAGUUUUUCCUACAGAGUUGUUUCAGCUCCAUAUAUAUUCUGGUUAUUAAUCCCUUAUUAGAUGGUGUAUUAGCCCAUUUUCACCCUGCUAUAAAGGACUUCCCUGAGACUGGGUAAUUUAUAAAGGAAAGAGGCUUAAUUGACUCACAGUUCCAGAUGGCUGAGGAGGCUGCAGGAAACUUACAAUCAUGGUAGAAGGGGAAGCAGGCACAUCUUACAUGGUGGCAGGUGAGAAACAGCAAGCAAGAGCAGGGAAAACCACCUUAUAAAACCAUCAGAUCUCGUAAGAACUCACUCACUAUCACGAGAACAGCACGGGGGAACCCCUGCCCCAUGAUCAAAUCACCUCCCUCCCUCAACACAUGGGAAUUACAAUUCAAGAUGAGAUGUGGGUGGGGACACAGAGCUAAAUCAUAUCAGAUGGGUAGUUUGCAGAUAUUUUCUCUCAUUCUGUGGGUUGUUCUCUCUUCAUUUUGUUGAGUGCUUCCUUUGCUGUGCAGAAGCUUUUUAACUUGAUGUGAUCCCAUCUGUCCAUUUUUGCUUUGGUUGCCUGCCCUUGUUGGGUAGUACUCAAGAAAUUUGUGCCCAUAUCAAUGUCUUGGAGAGUUUCCCCAGUGUUUUCUUGUCGUAGUUUCAUAGUUUGAGGUCUUAGAUUUAAGUCUUUAACUCAUUUUGAUUUUAUUUUUGUAUAUGGUGAGAGAUAGGAAUCUAAUUUCAUUCUUCUGCAUGUGGAUAUCCAGUUUUCCCAGCACUAUUUAUGGAAGAGACUGUCAUUUCCACAGUGUAUAUUCUUGGUACCUUUGUCGAAAAUAAGUUUACUGUACGUGUGUGGAUUUGUUUCCAGGUUCUCUUUUCUGUUCUAUUGGUCUAUGUGUCUGUUUUUAUGCCAGUACCAUGCUGUUUUGGUUACUAUAGCUCUGUAGCACAAUUUGAAGUCAGGUAAAGUGAUUCCUCCAGUUUUGUUCUUUUUGCUCAGGCUAGCUUCAGCUAUUCGGGGUCUCUUGUGUUUCAAUGUUAAUUUUAGGAUUGUUUUUUCUAUUUCUGUGAAGAAUGUCAUUGGGAUUUUAAUAGAGAUUGCACUGAAUUUGUAGAUUGCACUGAGUGUUGUGGACAUUUUAACAAUAUUGAUUCUUCCAGUCCAUGAACAUGGACUAUCUUUCCGUUUUUUUGUGUGUCCUCUUCAAGUUUCUUUCAUGAGUGUUUUAUAGUUUUUAUUAUAGAGAUCUUUCACUUCUUUGGUCAAUUCCCAGUUAUUUAGUUUUAUUUGUGGCUAUUGUAAAUGGGAUUACUUUUUUGAUUUAUUUUAACAGACUACUUUAAAUUGUGGAAAGGCAGCACACUGAGGAGCUCUGCUGGGAAAAGAUGCUGCUCCCCUCCUCCCUCAUCCUUCCUCCAAAUAACUUGUCUCUCAGCUUCCAGGUUCUGUGCCCCAUUCACACUCCUCAGCCCUGCCAAAUAAAUGUCUCUGAAGCCCACUUUGACGGGCCACACCAAUGUUCACAGACCCCUCAGAUUCAGGCUGACUGAUAACAGUGCUUGCAAGGACACCUGUAACUACAACUGUUGACUAUCUGCUACAUUCCAAAACUGUUCUGGAUGCUUCCUAUACGUAACCUUGUAUAACUUUCACACAAUCCUAUUAAGUAGGUAUUAUUACUAAUCCCAUUUUGUAGAUGGGAAAACUGAACUUCAGAGAAGCUAAGCCAGAUUUGAACCCUCAGCCCAUGCCCUCAUCACUACACUCCAGCAUCUUUCUCUCCUUCCAAGUGUCAUCUAGGUAAUGUCACACAGUGGUCCACACUGAGAGGCAAAGGCCAGAGCUAGGAACCAUUAACAGCCAUCUUCUAAUGCAGAAUUUCCCAAGCUAUGUUCUGUAGAACAAAUCCUUGAGAUGCUGGGCAGAGAAGUAGUUCCCAGGUCAUAUACACACAAGACAGGUUUUAUUUUCUGUCUGUCUCCUGGAGGUUUACAAUGUGCAGCAGCUCUGAUAAUGACUAGGCAAUUUAUUGAGAUUAUAUUUUGCAUUUUGUUCUCACUGUAGUUUUUGUUCCCCAAUAUUUUCUCUCUGAGAAAGUUUCCUGUCUUUUUUUGGUGCCCUCUUGAUUGAGAGAUUUGUUUUGUAGGAUCUACGUAGUCACUUUUUGACACACCCUUCCUGUCUUUGAUUGGGAGAAAUUCUGCUCGAUCCUCCCAGAGUGGGGAGGAAAUGGGCAAGUGCUUUUGCCUGGUAGAGAGUGGGUUCGGAAGGCAAAAGCAGACAGAGGAGUUAGAAAUUCUCCAAGAUGAAAAGGGAGAAGAAGUUGGGGGGUUCUGGGAGAAGUUGGCACCAGAAAGGGCCCCUGUGGAGCUGUCAGGACCUGAUGGGGCAUGUGAAGAAGCUGGGCACCAGGUACUGAGUCUCUGGCCUCAGCAAAGCUCCCCAAACCCAACCCUGGCACAAGCUCAGCAGAACCAUUCCCCGUCACACAGUCACGCAGGCCUGGACCAAGAGACCAUUGUUGAUGCCACUCUAUCCUGAGCCCAGAGGGUCCCACUCUGUGUCAUACCUCAGUACAUUGUCAUAUCCCUGGAGGGGGAGGGCAGGAUCAGAGGAACCCUCAGUGACAGCUGAGGAUAGAUUUUCCAUUAGUCCAGUGGGUUGGAGGUUCAGGUUCAGUCAAUUUGACUUUAAGAAAAUAAGGCAAUAUGACAGUUCUUGCACAUCCAAGUUUGAAUUUCAAUUCUUACCCACUAAAUUUGAUAAUUCAUGAUUUGUUAACUUUUUAAACACAUGAAACCUGUAUUAGCAAUUAUUGGAAUUUUGGUCACUAGAUCACCUUUUGGGAAUUCUAACUUUAGAACAUUGGCCUCCAUGUGACUUAACCUCCCAGGAAUAAUGGGGCCAACUAGACCAGGUAAGCAAGACAAGAAGCAAGAGGGGUAGAGAGCAGGAGGGGAGAGUAGGAGAGGGAGAAAGAAUGAAAAGGGGAAAGAAAAGAAGUGAGGGAGAAACCAAGAAGAAGAGAGAAAAAGCCAGGGAAGUGAGAGGAGCAGAAGAAGAUUGAGCCAGAGAACCAUGGGAGAAAGGGACAGAGAAGAGAGGAGAGGCAGAGAUUGGAGGAGGGGGAGGGGAAGGAGAAUCCACCAUGCAUCAGGUGGGGACUUGGCCAUGCACUCAGAACACCCAGGAGAAGGACAGGGCAGCACUCUGCCUGGCCUGUGAGUAAAGCACACCUAGGGGUUGCAGUUCCAUAUGGGUGUUCUGUGAGAGGGAGGAGAAGGCUGGAUGUGAGGCUGAGAAGAGUCCCAGCUUGUUUUGAGGGUGCAUUCCUUUCAGAGAGGCACCCCAGUGUGAUGACUGACAUUCCACUGCUGAAUAGAGGAGCUCCCCAGCUAGAGUAGAGUAGCCACAGCUAGAGGUUCAGCCAGGGCUUGAGUCCUAGAGCGUGUCAUACAGGUGGUGCCUGGAUUUCCGCCUGUCCAAGGGGCAAAGCUGACAAUGGGUGCCUUCUGUGAGCCCUCUCCAUCUCUGCCCUUCUCCUUCUUUGGAAUCAUUCCUCUCACCUCCCUUCCAGGCAUCUUCGGGGAAGAUGUCUAAUAAACCUAUUCUUAUUAAGUGUCUUAAUCUUUUAUCCUUCCCCAAAAGUAUAGGAAGGUGGGGAAAGAGCAAGGAAACAAUCUCCAAUUGUGAGAUUUUCAUAGGCUGUGCCUAGACAAUGGGAGAGGUGCUUAGGAAGGAAGGAGGGAAGGAAGGAAGGAAGGAAGGAAGGAAGGAAGGAAGGAAGGAAGGAAGGAAGGGGAUUAAGUAUUUUGGCCAGAUUUUCUCUGGUUUUUCUUAGGGUGAGACAGAUGACUAAGCUAAAAAUACAAAGUCUGACCAUGAAGCUGAAUGGUGAAGUGAACUGGAAAUCAGGAGACUAGAUACAGACCUGCCUUGGCUAGUUGGCUGCAAGGCCUGGAGUAGGUUAUUCACCCAAUGCUCCUUUUGUCUACAAGGGGGUGAAACUGAAGGGUUCAAUCUAGACAUUUCCUCUUGUAGGGUACCUCCCAGCUCUAAUAUUCAAUAGUUCCAUAAGUAGAGUUUAAUGUAAAAAUCAAGUAACACUUGCAAGUAAAUUAACCCUGUAUAUUCAAAGAGCUAUACUUAGUGGUACUUUGCCCUCCAGAACAAGUGUUUCUGGGAUCAAAUGCACAUUGAUGGAGCAAGGGGAGAUCGGGAAAGAGUCUGUGGCUCUGCCUUUCCCUCUCUCCCAGCCCAACACCCAGAAGGAGAAGCUUUCUGGCUUCUACCAACUUUAGCGUGGAUGCCUGAGGCCCAGCCUUCCCCAACUUUGUCUUAGGGAAGGGAGAUGUAACACCAUGACUCAACCUUGAAUCCCUUUACUGGCAUUAUUCCCCCAACAACCUUGAGGGAGUAUGCUAGUCAAGACUUUAGGUGACAAAUGUCAGGAGCUGAAACUAGUUUAAAAAAAGGGAGGGGGGAUUUAUUAGCUCAGAAAGCUGGGACAUCCAGAAAGGUAUCUGCUUUCAGACAUGGCAAGAACCAGGAAAUCAAAUGACUUCAUUAGGGCUCUCUCUUUCUGUGUUAACCUCUGCUUAUUUCUGCUUGGCUCCCUUCUUUGGACAGCCUGUUUCACAUAGUAGGUUAGAUAGCUAACCACACCCCCAGACUCCUAUGCUCCCAUUUUAGCAGCUCUAGUAGAAAAGAAUCUGUCUUUCUUGAUAGCCCCACCAGUAAGAACUGACUGACCCAUUUGGGUCAUAUGCUCCUUCUUGAAUCAGCCUUGGUGGUUGGGGGAUGAAAUACUCUGAUUGGAUGUACCUGGGUCACAUGCCGCCCUUGUCACUGGGAGAAUAAAGUGGAUGUCAGCUCCAUUUGAACCCCAUGGAAUGGGUUACCUACAGGAAAAGUUGUAGAGAAGGGAUUCCACUAGAUGAAACAUCAGAUUUCCUCAAAUAGAAUGUCUUCAAGCCCAUUAUACAGAUGAGAAAAUGGAGGAUCAGACUGGUUAUAUAACUCACCAAGGUUUACAAAACUAGGAAAUCACAGAGCUUGGACUUGAAGCCACAUUUGUCCAACACAAAAGUGCGUGUUUUAACCACAGCACUCUGCUAGCUCAACUGUCUCAGCAUCCUCAAGAGCCCCAUGACUCCAACUUUGAAUACUUGGGCUUGUCAUUUACGGUUCUCAAAAUAACUGAAGUUGCAGGCAGCCUAACAAUGCAUUCGAGACCCCUGGCUCCUCAAAGGAGCUUGCCGAUCUGCUCUGUUUCUCUUCUUCUGCCUCUCCCUAGUUGGAAGGAAGGAGCUAGGGAACCAUAAUCACGCCUCUCAUUGCCUCUUCCAAGGCUAGAUACACAGGUAUGUGGAAUAGGCUGAAUGCCACCAUUUAAGACAAAUGUUCUCAACCACAGUGUGCUCACAAUGGCAUGGUGAAUAAUUUGUGAGGUGUGUUGCAAGUAACUUGUUUUGUUAAUAGUUAAAAUACUGGAGUUUGCAAAUGAUUUAUCUUUUUAUAAAAAUAAGCAAGAGAAAAUUCAAGGCUAUCCCUAUAACAACACACACUGUGUUCACUUGUAUUCUUUUUUAUACUUUUUUGAGUGGGAGAGAGAGGUAAAGUUAAAGCAAGCAGGCAUUUGUCAUUACCCUGGGCAUAGCCAUGGAAGAUUUUCUUUCUUGUGUUCCCACAUGGAAAAAGGGCUGAGUAUUAUUGAUUUAAGGGAAGACUUCUGUUCACAAAUACCUCCUCAAUACCUACUUCCAAUUCCACCAAGUAAAAAAUACACUGGUUUUAAAAGCUAAUGCUGGGUAGGCAGCGUGUUCAACAGUCACUCACAUAUUGUUGUGAAUUAUAGGAUACCCUUGUUCAAGAAUAAGAUAUUCUAGAAACCUCAAAUGAAUGGAGACAUUUCUGAAUACUUUCAGAUAAUAAAAGCUUCUGAAGGACUAAAAACACAGUCAAACUUUAAAGUGAAGCUUUAAAUAGAGCUGAAAGCUUUUUGAGUUAAUAGAUAAUUUUAUGCAAAAUAACUUUCAUACUAGCAAGUAGAUUCCUAAGUGAGUGACAGAGUAGGCAGCUGAUUUUUUUUUUCCAUUGUGGCAAAGUGGAGCUUUAUCCUCAGUUCUUUUUACCUUCUGGAUAUUUUAAUUGCACACCAAAAUUCACUGCAGCAUAGUUACAAUAGCCAAGAGGUAGAAGCAACCCAAAUGUCAUCGAUGGGAGAAUAAAGAAAUGUGGUAUGUGUAUACAAGGAAAUACUACUCAACCUUGAAAAGGAAGGAAAUUCUGACACACGCUCCAGUGUGAAUGAACCUUGAGGACAUUAUACCAAGUGAAAUAAUCCAGCUAUAGAAAGAAAAAUACUAUAUGAUUCAACUUAUAUGAGGUAUUUCAAGUAGUCAAACUCUUAGGAACAGAAAGUAGAAUGGUGGUUGCUAGAGGGUGGGACCGAGGGUGGUGAGGAAAGAGGAAUUAUUAGCAUCAUUCCAUGAUUGUAGAGUUUCAGUUUUGCAAGAUGAAAAAUCUCUACAGAUUCACUGCACAACAGAAAAUUGUUAAGAUUGGAAAUUUUAUGUUAUGCAUUUUUUCCCACAAAUUUCAAAAAUGGAAAAAAAACAGAAAGGAAAGAAAAAAAAAAAGAAAGGACCAGAAAACUUGAGCUGAGUUAUUGUCAUUUAAGAUGAAAGAAAAAAAAGGGAGGGAACACAGAGGCAGUAAUUAGUCCCAGAACCUAAUUCUAGGAAUGUCCGGAAGUCAAAAGUUACUUGGUGGAAUUUAAAGUGGUACUGAGGAGGUAUUUGUGGGCAGAAACCCUCCCUUAAAUCAAUAAUGCUCAAGCCUUUUUCCAGGUUGGACACACCAGAAAAAAAAUCUCCCAUGGCUAUACCCAGUGUAAUGACAAAUGCCUGCUCUCUUAAACUUCACCUGUCUCUCUGCCCCACUCAAAACCCCUCUCACAUAGAAUAAAUGGCAAAAGAAAAGUCUACAUGGAGUAAUUUCUUUCAAAAAAGGAACAGCAGAAGUAGGAAGAGGGGAGAGGAAGAGAAGAGGGAGUGAGCAGCAGCUGAAAUUACAGUCUUAAAAAAUGCUUAUUUUCAAUUAUACACAAAAAAGAAAAUAAUGCAAAGAUUUCAUAGCCAACAUUGUACUGCGUAUAAAAAUUGUGCCACAGUAGUCACAAAAGCUCUUCAUGUUGCUGGCAGAGACAGAGAGCUUAUGGCUUAUUCAAACAAAAUCUCACCAAUCUCAAUGGUGAGGGUUUUGGGUUUAAUCAGAUUGCUUUCCCCACACCUACCAUAAGAAAAUGGAAGGAAGAUGAGAUAUAAUUUGGAGGCAUGGAAUCUUAUGAAGAUAAACAGGCUAAAGCCAGGGGUCUUGGGUAGUCAAAGGGAAGUUCAUGGAGAUGAGAGUAAAAGAGAUUGUUACUGGCAGACUAGAGGAAGUAUGGGCAAGGCAGUGAAGACAAAUUUUACCACUAGAAAAAAAAAAUGCUGCAAUUUCGUUCUGCCUUCUCCCUUCUUAGAAUCAAAAUAGCUUUUACUUAAAUGUUAUUAGUCCUUGCCUUCCUCCCACCCCAACUGCCAUGGGCACUAGAGGGGUGAGACAAAGCAAAAAUGAACCUGCAUGGGGAGCUGGUUCAGUAGCAGCAAUGGGGCUCCCAGGGAUUGUCCAAGGCAAGCUGCAAGAUACAAGGAGGAAUGUGCUGGAUUAUUGAUGCCAUGAGGUACACAAAAAGACAACUUGGUGGAAACUCUGUCACACAGAUUGCUACAAGAAAGCUAGCCUGGCUAGCAGCCAUGCAUAGUGUCACUUUAAUGUGCAGCCCUUCUGACCUGGGAGAAGGCUGCCAGAGGCGGCAUUCCCUAAGGGAGGCUGUGAGAUUUGCCCUGCCCACUCUGGACACCGGGUUCCUGUCAGCAGUAGUUAGGUGGGACUCUUUUCCCAGUCAGAUUCCAUUUAUGAAAAUACUGAGAAUUGUUCUUUAAUUUAGACUUUAAUAAAGAUAAGACAAAGGUUAAUUGAGAAUGGCUGAGUCUCACAUUACGUAAUGAAGACUGCCUAAAAUCUACUGUACUGUUAACUUGGAAAAUUGCUGCUGAAUUCUGAUAUUGACCUCCACGCCUUCCUAACUAAAGAAUUGAUGGGUGUGUUGAUUUUAUGUUACCCAAGUCUAGCUGACCUGUAUCUUCCAUUCUUUCUAAUUCUUGGCUCAUAUUGGUCUGGGUUCAUAUGGAUUUUUUUUGUAUCAAGGAUCUUGUUACUAAUUGCAGAGAAUUCUCAAUCUCUACAACUGUAAUUUAUCAAAGUUCAGAUUUUUAAAUAACAAAGGCCACAUCAAUUGCUGUCUAGGGAGGUUGCCUCGUCCAAAGUGCUCUGCAAAAUGCCUGCUGUCAGUUACUUAUAACCCAAAAAUGGCUCCUUUCUCUACUUGGAAUGUGCUGAUCUCCUCCAUCAUCAGCAUCUGCUUGCCUCUGCUCAAUUGCCUCUGCUGGUGGGCUGGGCUGGAAACUGGCUCCUUUUGGUAGCAAGAAUUACUUCAGGAGUGAAUCUCAUCUUCUCGCUUUGGAAAUCUAGAAAUACAUCCUAGAACUUCUGGCACAACCCCAUUCAACAUACACCUUUGGCCCUGGCAGGUUUUAGAGCUUUACUCUAUAGGUAUUUUAUGUUUACAGAUGAUGACUAGAAAGAAUUUGACUAGAAGACCACUAUGUAAGGACACGAGUUUAUACACUGUGCAAAGGUGCCCAGCCAAGGAGGCAAGUGGGGCUGAAUUCCAGUCCUGCAGGAAGGAAUGCCUUUUCUUUGCACAAAGGCAACAGCUCCCACCAACCCAUGUGCUGGUGAAGCUGUGUCCACACAAGGAGUAUCCUUUUUGAAUUUACACACUCCAUAGGCUGGCAGCAGCCUUCCCUGAAACAGAUGCUGUGGGAUGGGGAAAUUGGUUUUUAAAGAGCUCAAAGAAAAGUUUACCAGGAUCAUUCAUGGAGGAAAAGUCAGCAUGAUCAUCCCCAAAGUGGAAGCCAACAGUGAUCAAUCAAAAGACCAAAGAGGGCCAGGCGUGAUGGUUCACGCCUGUAAUCCCAGCACUUUGGGAGACGGAGGCAGAUGGAUCAUUUGAGGUCAGGAGUUCAAGACCAGACUGACCAACAUGGUGAAACCCUGUCUCCCCUAAAAUACAAAAAUUUGCCAGGCGUGGUGAUGGGCACCUGUAAUCCCAACUCAUUGGGAAGCUGAGGCAGGAGAAUCGCUUGAACCCAGGAGGUGGAGGUUGCAGUGAGCCGAGAUCGUACCACAACACUCCAGCAUGGGUGACAGAGCGAGACUCCCUCUAAAAAAAAAAGACCAAAGAGAGGCUAGGCACGGUGGCUCACACCUGUAAUCCCAGCACUUUGGGAGGCUGAGGCAGAAGGAUUGCUUGAGUCCAGGAAUUCAAGACCAGCCUGGGCGACAUGGUGAGACCCUAUCUCUACAAAAAAUUAAAAAAAAAAACUAGCCAGGUGUGGUGCUGAGUGCCUGUGGUCCCAGCUACUUGGGAAGCUAAGGUGUGAGGAUCACUUGAACCCAGGAGGCAGAGGUUGCAGUGAGUUGAGAUCAUGCCACUGCACUCCAGCCUGGGCAACAGAGUGAAACUGUCUCAAACAACAACAACAACAAACCCCAAAGACCAAAGAUUAAGAAUCUAAAGCUUUACUCUCUAGCUCCAUUGGAAGAUGCUUCGCUUUUCUUUUCUUCUCUGCCCCUGCAUUAUUUCUCAGAGAGAAAGAGCUGAUUUUUCCAUGUGAAAUAGGGAGGAAGAGGGCUUAGAUGAUACAGCACAUACCACAGAACACAGGAGCCAGUUCAAAGAUGCAUGAGCUGCCAUAAUACCACAAACACACCACUUAUCCCAUGGAGUAACUCCAAGGACUGAUCACAUUCAGCCACAGUGAGGGUAGCCAGGGGGCUAAAUGCACUAGCCCAACAUGCAUCAAAAGGGCAGCUUUGUUCAUUGUGCCAGCACCUGCCCUCAGAUACUGCUUCUUCCGGCUUCCCUUUCAUUCUCUCAUCUCUUGCGCUUUCUUUCUUGCUGCUCAUAUCCUAUGUUCUGGAAUUCUCGCUGCCUCCCAGACACUGUGGUUCACUUUGAUUGAUGCUCUUUGUUCUCUGUGUAAGUAGAGAAGGUGAGUCAGGAAUCCAAGUGUGGCUUAUCUGCAUCCCUUUGGCCCGGGGUCUCUCACACAAGGCUGUCAUGAGGGCGUUGGCCAGGACUGCAGUCAUCCCCAGGCUCAGCUAGAAGAGGAUCUGCCUCCGAGAUCACGCAGGUGGCUGUUGACAGACCUCAGGUCCUCACCGGCUGUUAGGUGAAGGUAUCAGUUUCUUGCAGCUUGGACCUCUCCAUGGGGCAG
rnacentral:lncRNA from 1 species